CGGAAUGUAGGCUAGUCUGGUUAAGUCGCUCGGUUUGGGACCGAGAAAUCGAAGGUUCGAAUCCUUCCAUUCCGA
rnacentral:tRNA from 1 species